rnacentral:rRNA from 1 species
CCUACGGGAGGCUGCAGUGGGGAAUAUUGCACAAUGGGGGGAACCCUGAUGCAGCAACGCCGCGUGGGUGAAGAAGUACUUCGGUAUGUAAAGCCCUGUCAGCAGGGAAGAAAAUGACGGUACCUGACCAAGAAGCCCCGGCUAACUACGUGCCAGCAGCCGCGGUAAUACGUAGGGGGAAAGCGUUAUCCGGAUUUACUGGGGGUAAAGGGAGCGUAGACGGCAAGGCAAGUCUGGAGUGAAAGCCCGUGGCUCAACCACGGGACUGCUUUGGAAACUGUGUUGCUGGAGUGCAGGAGGGGUAAGCGGAAUUCCUAGUGUAGCGGUGAAAUGCGUAGAUAUUAGGAGGAACACCGGUGGCGAAGGCGGCUUACUGGACUGUAACUGACGUUGAGGCUCGAAGGCGUGGGGAGCAAACAGGAUUAGAUACCCGAGUAGUC